rnacentral:sRNA from 1 species
UAUUAUAAAUGAAAAUAGAGCUGUGCGCUAACACAACUUUCUAGUGUAGAACCGUUUAAGACGGUAGCAAAUUUAGAUUAUUUUAAG